GCCGGUUUAGCUCAGCAGGUAGAGCAACUGACUUGUAAUCAGUAGGUCGUGGGUUCGAUUCCUAUAGCCGGCACCA
rnacentral:tRNA from 48 species